rnacentral:rRNA from 1 species
GUGGUUUUAGCAGAGGGGCUCACCUGUUCCCAUUCCGAACACAGAAGUUAAGCCCUCUAGCGCCGAUGGUACUGCUAACGCGGGAGAGUAGGUCGCCGCCA